UUGAGCUGCAUGCCGGGAAACUCGCACGCACAGUUCUCGGGGGCCCCUCAUCCGAAAGGUUGGGGGCCACCCUAC
rnacentral:ncRNA from 2 species